rnacentral:rRNA from 1 species
AGAGUUUGAUCAUGGCUCAGAUUGAACGCUGGCGGCAGGCUUAACACAUGCAAGUCGAGCGGGGGAGGUUACUUCGGUAACUGACCUAGCGGCGGACGGGUGAGUAAUGCUUAGGAAUCUGCCUAUUAGUGGGGGACAACAUUCCGAAAGGAAUGCUAAUACCGCAUACGCCCUACGGGGGAAAGCAGGGGAUCUUCGGACCUUGCGCUAAUAGAUGAGCCUAAGUCGGAUUAGCUAGUUGGUGGGGUAAAGGCCUACCAAGGCGACGAUCUGUAGCGGGUCUGAGAGGAUGAUCCGCCACACUGGGACUGAGACACGGCCCAGACUCCUACGGGAGGCAGCAGUGGGGAAUAUUGGACAAUGGGCGCAAGCCUGAUCCAGCCAUGCCGCGUGUGUGAAGAAGGCCUUUUGGUUGUAAAGCACUUUAAGCGAGGAGGAGGCUCCUUUAGUUAAUACCUAAAGUGAGUGGACGUUACUCGCAGAAUAAGCACCGGCUAACUCUGUGCCAGCAGCCGCGGUAAUACAGAGGGUGCGAGCGUUAAUCGGAUUUACUGGGCGUAAAGCGUGCGUAGGCGGCUUUUUAAGUCGGAUGUGAAGUCCCUGAGCUUAACUUAGGAAUUGCAUUCGAUACUGGAAAGCUAGAGUAUGGGAGAGGAUGGUAGAAAUCCAGGUGUAGCGGUGAAAUGCGUAGAGAUCUGGAGGAAUACCGAUGGCGAAGGCAGCCAUCUGGCCUAAUACUGACGCUGAGGUACGAAAGCAUGGGGAGCAAACAGGAUUAGAUACCCUGGUAGUCC